UCAGCCGCCGCGGUAAUACAGAGGUCCCGAGCGUUGUUCGGAUUCACUGGGCGUAAAGGGUGCGUAGGUGGUGGAGUAAGUCGGAUGUGAAAUCUCGGAGCUCAACUCCGAAAAUGCAUUGGAAACUACUCUGCUUGAGGGUCGGAGGGGGGACUGGAAUUCUCGGUGUAGCAGUGAAAUGCGUAGAUAUCGAGAGGAACACCAGUGGCGAAGGCGAGUCCCUGGACGACACCUGACACUGAGGCACGAAAGCUAGGGGAGCAAACAGGAUUAGAUACCCUGGUAGUCCUAGCCGUAAACGGUGCAUGCUUGCUGUAAAAGGAAUCGACCCCUUUUGUGGCGGAGCCAACGCGUUAAGCAUGCCGCCUGGGAAGUACGGUCGCAAGAUUAAAACUUAAAGGAAUUGGCGGGGGAC
rnacentral:rRNA from 1 species